CACAGAUUCAUAUACACAGCAUUUAAGAUAUUCGAGAAAACAUGGAUAGAUGGCGCUAGUGGUUUUAAUACAGCGAACCAAUGACAUUGCAGUGUGGUUGUCGUUGCGUCACAACGGCGUAAUGUGAUUGGUUCGCUGUGUCUCAUUUGAUAUACACAGCAUUUAAUAUAUUCGAGAAAACAUGGAUAGAUGGCGCUAGUGGUUUUAAUACAGCGAACCAAUGACAUUGCAGUGUGGUUGUCGUUGCGUCACAACGGCGUAAUGUGAUUGGUUCGCUGUGUCUCAUUUCGAAUCGAUUCGAUGGUGAGAAGUGAAAUGCUAACCCACACUUCGCCCUCUGGUGCACAAAGUGAAUAAACCUUGCCACCACUAGAUCGUGAAAUUCAUCAAGUGCGAACUAAAAUGAAACUUCAUAAUGUUAAAAUAUGACGCAAAAUCAAAAAUAGAUGCAAAGAGUUGCGAAUCUUCAGGCCGUGCAGGAGCGCGCCAUGGUCCUCUAUCACGAUCCAGAUUACGUGAAGGACCCUCAGGCGUUCACCGGCAGACUGAAACGGGGAUAUCCCUACAGGACGAACUUUACUGCGACAACCCUGCAUCCUUGGGCGAAUAAUGUCACGUUCUCUUUGGUUUUGUCACACAAACGCACCGGGAACGACCCCAUAAUGGCAGUGAGAGUUUGCGACGCAUUGUCUCAUUCCUGGAUGGCAGAAUUCAUUUGGACCUAUUUUCACACAAAAACUUGUCCUUAUCCUCCGAGAACAUAUUCGGCCGUCAACUUGGAGCUACCCCCGAAAAACUAUCCUUUUCCGGUGCCGAAAGGAGAUAUUCAAAUAUUUGCAUACUUCAGCCUCACAGAAAGUAAACAUAUACUUGUCAAGUAUUCUUUGAAAAUACACGUAUGAUUGAGUCUGAUAGUUACAAUGUUCUUCUUUGUCUACCCAAGUAAAUCCGUAAUUUUAUUUCAUAAACAAGAUUUUUUAUAUUUGGCUACAUGACUAGGUAUAAAAUAAUAUGCAUAUAGCAUAUAUAAAUAACCAAAUACCAUAAUAAAA